UUGCAUUGAUGAAUUUUUCUUUCCUGAAGAACAACAUGCAGAUUAAAGAGCUUUUAACUAUUCUUGAUGCAAU